CAGAGGCCUAGGUGGGGACAGGAAAGGAGAGGGUGGAGACAGUGGUGGCUGGGGAGAGCAGGUGCCAGGGUUUCAAAGAGCAAAGCCAUUCUAGGGAAGGGUGUUGCCUGGAAACCUGGCGUGACUACAGAACCUGCAUCUGCGUGGAGUUCCUGGAAAUCACCCAGAGUUAAAGGACGCCCCCACCGUCCCUAUGGCUGAGAUCACGUUGGAGGCUAGGAUCUUACCAGGUGGGAGGCUGUGGACCUCUCUAAUCCACCAAGUAUGCCACACGGAGAUCACAUGUACAUUUCUAGAAACCAAAUGCAGACUGCUUUAAGAACGGGUCCCCUCGCCUCCUAGCCAACUCUUCCUUUUGUGAGCGUGGUUCUUCCCAUCACUUCCCAUUCUCUCCUCGAGGAGGAUAGACUGAGGUGGUGGAGGCUGCAGAGGGGGCCAGCCAGCCCUGGAGUCAAAUCCCAACUCUGCCAAAUUCUGGCUGCGUGACCUCAGAAAAACGAUGACGAGGUUAAAGGAGAAAAUAAGUUACAUGACAGUUUCCAAAAUGGUUCUCGCUUUCCACUGAAGAUGGGCCACUGUUGGGUUGUAAUGCACUCACGGCCCCUGCUUGUGCUUUACAAGAAGAGGGAAUAUAACUAGACUGGUUAUUUUAGGUUAAAAUAGCCAAGAGACAGACGCCUUCGCCUCAAAAAUAUUCUGAGACACAUUAAAAGUAGAAGGAAACAAGUCUCUUCAGUCACAAAAUGUCGUACAUCCGGCAUAUACUAGAUUCAAUUAAUUUAAUAAAAUAGAAUAUACAUAGAGA